AUUAAAGAGGCUUUUCUAGGGAGCAGAGAUGGCCCUGGGGCAGGAAACAUUUAUUGAUCAUUUAAAUGAGGUCCUGGAAUGCUGGGAGCUGAGACAAAGCUUUCUCCCCUUGAGCCUUCCCUGGAGGAUUCAUGACUGAUGCUAUCCAGGCCGGAGGAGAGCGCCUCGCAGGUGGUGGCUCAGGUCUGGCCACACCUUGAUGAAUUGCUCUCGUUUCCUAUUCUUGCACUGUAGAGUAACCAGUUGGAUAACUCUCUCUGUUCUUAUGUG